CAACAACAAAACCAAUAAACCAACAAGAGAAUGCUUUGCCAAAACAGGCUUGACAAACGAAAAACGUGUUGGAGGAGGCAAGGCUCCCAGUCCUGAGAUGACCCAGCGGUGAGGAGCAAGUGGGGCACAAAAGAUCUGCAGGACUUCUGGAACCAUCCUGCAAUGGUCUCUGCAAUGCCCUGUGCUGUGCUGCAGACUGCAGCUCAGGAUCCCAGUGCCUUGCCCCGUUGUGCAGUGCCAUCUCCUGGAAAGCUGUGCCUGGGCUGCACACACUGCUCACUGCCGGAGCUUCACAACCAGACUUUUGCUCCCGAAGCACCUAGUGGUGCCACAAGCAGAAAGCCACUGCCUCGAGGUAUCUUCUGACCCACCAGAAGUGCUCCACCAAACUCCUCUUUCUCCAGCAGCAAGAAGUAUGAAGUAUGCUCUCUGUGAGGAGCCCUGUGGCAGGACAUACCUGCACAGCUCCUUCCUGCUCUGGGUGGUGAAUAUAGAUCUCUAGGUACAAGAAGCUCCGUAAAAGGAGCACGAAUAAACACCUGUGAGAUGCUGUUCCUUACUUUUUGUUCAGCUUUGGGCACAAGUUCCCUGCUCAGUGAAAUGCCAGGCACGUCAGUGCCCUGUUUACCUGAUCUUCCUGGUUUUGACUUUAAGUGACGUAUUUGCACUCUUCCUCCCCAAGUUUGAUGACCUCGUCAUGAGCAACAACCAAGCCCCUAAUCACAGUACUCAUCCUGCAUUUAAAAUGUUGCUACAUCUUUUUAAUGAGACAAAAAUGUGCACGUGGAACUCGCUCCUGAAUGCUACUGGCUUGACUAAGCUCUAUAUUUAUCCUGAAAACACAUGAAAAAAUGGGUGGUUCUGAGGGCAACGCGUUUACUCCUAAGAAACAGUAGCAGAGCUUAAGUGCUUAGUCACUGCAAAAAACGAACACGGCAAUUUAAAUCCCAAGGCUGGUAUUUCAUCCAUCAUUUUGGGCUAUUGGAGCGUGUUCUGAGCAGCUGGGAGGUUAACAUGCUGCGGUAAUCUGUCAGAUGCAAUGAACCAACCAGUGGGCCAAGGUAAAGCUGCAAAAGCUGGUAUUGGAAAAAAAAGGAUAGAAAGGAAAAAAGGCAAUUAUAUCAAUGUAAGGCCACAGAUUUCAUCAACAAGGAACAAACCAACACACGUGGCUGCCUACUGUCUUCUUUGACCUUUUCUGACCAACUCCUCGGUGUUGCCAACUUGUGUUCACCACCUCACUUUUGUCCUGGAACACGCU
rnacentral:lncRNA from 1 species